GGGCGCGCGGCGGGAGCCGCACCCGGGAGGUGCCGGGAUGGAGCUGCGCUCGGAGCUGCCCAGCGUCCCCGCCGCGCCCCCCCCGGUGCCCCCCAGUUCAGUGGCGGCGGCGGCGGCCGCGGCGGCGGCGACCCUGCCGGUGAGCGUGGCCGGGAGCCUGCUGCGGGCCCCGCCGCUGCUGCUGAGGGCGGCCGAGAAGUACCCGCGGACGCCGAAGUGCGCGCGGUGCCGCAACCACGGGGUGGUGUCGGCGCUGAAGGGCCACAAGCGGUACUGCCGCUGGAAGGACUGCAUGUGCGCCAAGUGCACGCUGAUCGCCGAGCGGCAGCGCGUCAUGGCCGCCCAGGUGGCGCUGCGGCGGCAGCAGGCGCAGGAGGAGAACGAGGCCCGCGAGCUGCAGCUGCUCUACGGCACCGCCGAGGGCUUGGCCCUGGCGGCCGCCAACGGCAUCAUCCCGCCCCGGCCUGCCUACGAGGUCUUCGGCUCCGUGUGCGCCGGGGCCGGCGGCGAGGGAGGCGCCGGCGCCUCAGAGCCCAAGGUGCAGAAGUUCGAGCUGUUCCCCAAGACGCUGCUGCCCGGCCGCGCCGCCACCCCGCAGCAGGCGGGCGGGAAGCCGCCGUCCCCCGACGGGGAGUCCGCGCCCGGCACUUCUUCCCCGGACGGCCGCCACGGCUCGGGCUCGGAGAACGGCGACGGAGAGUCCUUCCUCAGCUCGCCCGUCUCCAAAGGGCCGAAGGAGGGCGAGGAGAGCCCGGGCUCCAUCAGCCCGCUGGGCUCGGACUCGGGCUCGGAAGCGGACAAGGACGAGCGGGACCCGUCACCCUCGGCCGGCGGCCGGCAGCGGACUCCCAUCGACAUCCUGACGCGCGUCUUCCCCGCGCACCGGCGCGGCGUGCUGGAGCUGGUGCUGCAGGGCUGCGGCGGGGACGUGGUGCAGGCCAUCGAGCAGAUCCUCAACAACCGCGGCCCGGAGAAGGGCCCCGAGGAGAGCUGGGCUCGGGACGGCGCCCUGCAGGGCCUCCCGCCCGCUCCCGCCGCCCAUCACCGCCCGCUGAUCGCCGGCGCCAUGGCCCCCGCCAUCGGCGCGCUGGGCAGCCGCUCCGCCUUCUCCCCGCUGCAGCCCAACGCCACGCACUUCGGGGCCGAAGCGGGCGCCUACCCGCUGGGCGCGCCGCUGGGACUCAACCCGCUGCGCCUCGCCUACUCGGCGCACGGCCGCGGCCUCGCCUUCAUGGCCCCGUACUCCACCGCCGGCCUCGUGCCCGCGCUCGGCUUCCGCCCGCCCGUGGACUACGCCUUCAGCGACCUCAUGCGGGAGCGCUCCGCCGUGCACAAGGAGCAGGUGUACUCCGGGGGGCUGUACGGGCCCAUGGUCAACAACAACCCCGAGAAGCAAUAGCGCGGCGCGAGGUGUGCGCGGGAGCGUCGGGGCGUGGGUCCCUCUGCGUGCUUAUGGCCAUAGGCACGGAUAUCUGCGGUGUGGGGUGCGCGCGCUCCCCCCGCACGUACGUAUAUAUAUGUAUACUAGCAAGUGUAUAAUGUUAUAAAAUGGAAAUCUAAGUUAUUAAUGUAACUCGUAGGUGAACUCGGUAUUAACGUUAAGCUAAGGGUUAGGCAGCGUGUCGUAACGCUUCCCGGCGUAGAGGCAAAAUCUGUCUCCGGACCAAAAUGCACCGCCCUCCCUCCUCCCCCGGGGCUGCACACACGCACGGAGCGCCGUUGGCCGUCCGUAGGGGCCGGUGGGUGAUUGCCUCCUCCGUGUGUGAUCCCAAGGACAUUGCUUUCUUGUUGCGCUGUAGCGAUUCUUGCUGUUCUAACAGCGAGCGGUUGUUCUCCAGGAGCGGCUCCCGCGGCGGGGAGCGCCGGGCCCGGGAGAACGAUCCCUCCCGCAGGAGGAGUUCGGCGCCGGCGGAAUUCAGGCUGUCAAAGCUCCUCGAGUCGGUCGGUACGGAAGGCCCAUCCCGGCCGCGCUGUGCGCGCUCUCUCUUCGCAAAGAGCUCCGCAAAUACCGCUGCGCGAUGACACGGAGGGGCGCGGGGGGCGGCCCCGCUUAUUGCGGAGAGCCCCGGGCUGAGCGGGGGCUGCAGUGGGAAGGAACCCGGCCGGCCCCGUGCGCUGUGCGCUGGGCGCGGUGUUGGCGUUCCUCCGGGCAGCCAAUAGUGCGGAUCGCUCCUCGGUAAACACUGCUGACCCCGGUCCGUCUCGGAGCGGCCAAAUCAAUAUCGAGAGGGAAACUUUGCGGAGUGUCGUGUUCCAAGGGCGGGGGAAACUUAAUAUCACUACAAUAAAACGGUUUAAUAAAGAAGGGCUUUAAUAGU